ACUGUCCUUAGUGUGGAUACACACGUUCGACUUUGUAAUAUCGAUUCCACAUAUUCGAUUUAAGUACAAUUGAACUACUCUCGUAGUGUAGACAUACCCUAAGGGACUUUUAUAGUGAAAAUGUAGCCUCUGGGGGAUUAUAAGUGCCUCCAGAGUUAGGCAGCAGCUGAGUGGAGGUUCUGAGGAUCUCAGUGGUGUCUAAGUAGUGCCUAAAGUGGGAUUAUGGCCUUGUCUACACUUGAAAUACUACAUCGGCACAGCUACACUGCUACAACUGUGCCACUAUAGUGCUUCAGUGUAGACUCUACCACUGAUGGGAGGGGUUUUCCCAUCGACAAUCCACCUCCCCAAAAGGCAGUAACUAUGUCGAUGGAAGAACUCUUCUGUCAACCUAGCGCUAUCUAAUCUGGGGGUUAGAACAGUUUAACUACAAUGCUCAGGGUGUGGAUUUUUCACGCACCUGAAUGACAUAUUUAAGACGACUUAAUUUACUAGUAUAGACCAGGCCUUAGAUGCCUAUGUGCUUUUGGGGAUUAAACCCUAAAUCUUAUUUUCAAAAGUGACAUAAACACUUAGGAACCUAAGUCCUAAGAGAGUCUUAGGCCUCAUUUUCAAGAGACUUAAGAUGGUCUACACUACUCUGAAAACGCUUCAGCAGCACAAGCUGCACUGCAGCAGCUGCACCACUGUAAUGUUUAAGUGAGACACUAUCUAUGCCGAUGGAAGGACUUCUCCAGUCAGCGUAGGUUCUCCACCUCCCUGAGCGGCAGUAGUUCCUAGUGCACUGGGGAUUAGGUUGGUUUAAAUGUGUCAUUCAGGACUGUGGAUUUUUCACACCUCUGAGCGAUGUAGUUAUACCAACCUAAUUUCCUAGUGCAGACCAUCUUAAGUCUCUUGAAAAUGUGAUUUAGGCUCCUAAUUUGCUUAGGUAGUUCUGAAGAUUUUAUCCUGUUACUAGACCCUGACAUACACAAAUCUAGAGCCAAUAAGAUCAGGUACCUCACCUGAUCUCAGCAGUCAAGCUAUUAUAUGGAGAGAGGGCCCAUAUAUGCUAGGAAAUUGACUGUUGAGAAUGGAUUUCAGCAGUGAGUUUCUGCUGGAGAUUCUUUAACUGCUGGAAACAAUUUAGCUGUCAUUAUAGACAGGACAAAAUGGUUUUCAACUCUAUAAUAGAAAACAUUAUAGAGAUUGGUGGACCAUGGUAUACGUGGCUGUAAAGCGUCCUCUCCGCAAUAUUAAUACAACCAUGUCAGGGAACCAGGACGCUACACAGUUUUAUGCCCUAUAGACACAAACACAGUUUUAAAGGGUUUUUUGUUGUGUGUAUAAACACAUUGUUUAGGUACACACAUACUUUUAUGCACAUGUGAAUAUUUGUGUUUGUUUGCUUGGAUUUGCACUUAGCAAUGUUAACUCUAAUUCCAAAAUAAAGUAAGUUGAAUUUAAAGUAUAUGAUCCACAAGAGUAACAGUUCUUUUUCUUCAACAUUUUCAGGUCUUAUCUCUGCUGACCCUUCAAACAUCCAUGUCAAUGAACCUGCAUGCAGGAAAAACACAUAAGAAUUAGGUACAGUGCUCCUGUCAGCUAAUUUCUAAGUUAUUAUCUGCAAAAAAAUUAGAGUUUUCACGUGCCUCCGUAGCUCCUGGAAUCACAGUUAAAGUCCCUUCUCCCCAAAAAUCUGAAAUGGCGCUCCUGCAGUUGGACCUUUUGACAUCUGGGAAAGUGUGGAAAGACAGUUUAAAUUUAACCUAAUCACAAGAUCUUCCCUUAUCUCUGUGUACCAUAUGGUAGUCAUGGACAGCAGCCAAAAGUCUGUCUUCAUCAAAUGGCUUAUUAUUUAAAAGAACAAUGUGGCAUUAAGGCAACUCAUCUUCCAUUAUUUAAAACAUAUUCAAAAUGCCACUAGUACCAUGCAGGUAAGUUGCAGAACAGGCUCUGCAGCAGGAAGUAGAACUUGUAUGCAAAUCACAAAUCAGAAGUGGAAAACGUCAGUCUGAAAAUCUCUGAGGGGGAGUGAAUCAGUAACAGAGGAAAACUACUUUAAAGUUAAAAAAGUCCCUUGAAAUGUUUCUGUCCUUACAAACCAGGCUGCUGUUUACCCCGCACAGAUAAGUAACUGCAGGGGAAACCCAAUAUGAUUUUCAGACAUAAUAUUCAUGAGUGGAAAAACUUUCUGAUUUUUUUUUUAAAUACUAGAAUGUAUAUUGUCAGUGCCAACAGCUCAAAAAUCAUGAGUUGGGCCACCAAAAAUCACGAGAUUGUCUUACAAAUCAUGUGAUUUAAAAUGGGUUAUUUUUAUUUGUGUUCUGGUUCUUGAGUCUUGAAGGUUACACUCAAGUAACAUUUUCAAACUUUUCUCCACAACCACGUCUAGGAACAUUUGUUGAAAGAAAUUAAAGUUGAGAUUCUCAUGUAGUGACAGAACUCCAGCAGCUGGGACUUUUAAUUAAAAUAUCAAACAUGGCAAGAGUUGGCAACAUUGCAUAGAUAUUAGAAGCACUUCUGGUAUCAUCGAGCUUGUCUUCUUGCCAGUCAGGAUUUUCUCCACAGUAUAUUCUCUAGUGCUUUCUCCAAUCUAGCUUACAUGUCCCCAGGAAACUGGCUUUCACCACUUCCUAGUCCAGUAGAUCUCACUGUCAGGCCUAUUAGCCUACAUUUUCCUUGCUUAAUUUCACCCAUUCCUCCUACUUAUACUCCUAGGUGCCAUGUUAAUUCAUUUCUCCUCUUUGGUGUUUUCACCUUUCCAGUAUUUGUAGGCAGCCAUCAGGUUCCCCCUGAACUCUAGCUUAGUCAAGCUAUACAUAUUUAGCUAUCUAAAAUCAUCCCUCAGAAGUCAACUCCUCCUGCUGCUUGGUUGUUUUUAUUGCUCUCUUCUGAACUCCCGCCCAUUGAUCACUAUCUUGGUAAAGAGGCACCCACAACUGAAUGCAAUAUUUCAGAUGUGGCCAUAGCAGAGAGCAGGGAGGUAACAGAACCUCUGUUUCCUUCCCCUCUCCCCUCCCCCCGGCUCCAUGAUGCCUUUGCAUCAAGUUUCCAGGCACGUCAGUUCUUUGAGUGAGCAUUACCUGCCACCUCUUCAUAAUACAACCCCUAAGUCAGGCAAGUCUUUUCUGCAGCCAUGCCACGUUGCAAACUGAUGCCUAAUUUACUGGCCAGGGGUCUCGUUCAGCAUUACUGCUUCUAACCUUAUUUUGAAAAGUACAAUGGUACUCUACAGUAAUAGGUGAAAACACUGUGCCUUAUAUUAGCAACACUGCCGUGUUUUGGGCUUUUGCUGUAGAAUACUGUGGUAUAUUUCCUGGAGAAGCCCAUGUUUCAACCAUCCUUCGCUAGACUGAAUGGACUUUUUCUGGAGCCCAUUAUUGCUGUACCUUGAUGGGCAGGAAAGAUUCCUGCUGAGCAUCUUGUAAUACUCCCUGUCACACUCCCCUUCCACUAAUGGGCUGAGCAUGCUGUCUCCCUUAGCUGCCCAUAUCAGCCUUACACGUGAAAGACGUGUAUGGGUCCAUAAUUGAACCCAUAUUUCCCCUCUGGGGCAUUGCAAAGCAGUAAUACUAGGCCACCGGAACAAAGCCAAAAUGGCUGAUUGCUAAUAGUUUCUUCCCUUCUCAGAUUAGCAUCAGGUCUAUGGCUGUUGAUGCCCAUGGCAAACUGGAAAACACAUGCCCUUCACUUCCCACAAUCCCUAAACAUUUUGCUGCUCCAGGCAACCACCUGUUCUGCCUGUAUAAUAGAGCCAGCCUUGGAUGUGACGAACAUUCCUACCAAUUAAUGUGGCAUUAGUAGUGGUGCUAUUAGCGUGGCCUUUUAAUCAGUUUAAGUUUAAAGCCAUCUGUCUGUAACUAAGAUGUGGUGUUUUGCUGCAUGCCUAUUUUUCACAGUGAAAGCCCUUCCUCUGACAGCUGUGAGCUUUGGCAUUUUACGGCACUGUUCUGUAGUAAGACUGGGUUUGAUCUGAGAACCUUCACAAAGCCAUAUUUUACAACGUGCAGAUUUGAUAAGUGCAGCUACAGCGAGGUAAUUCUUGGUUGCAGCUGGCUUGCUGGACUAGCUGCAGCAUGCGUGCUAAGCACAGACACCCGGUAGGUGUAGGCUCUGGAGUUUCUGGCUGGGCAUAUCAGUGAUGGUGACUCAUUCAGGGCAGUUCAGGCAAAUACCAUAUUUACUGAUAUAUAAAGCUAAGCACAAUUUCCAGGCAAAACUUUUGGCUUAUACACUAAUCAAGCAAGGAAAGAGGGGAGCCAGGAGUUCUAAUGAGGGGUCCCCUAAGUUACUUCCUAUUUAAGGAAGACUCUUCCAUAAUGUCUUAGCUGAGGAGCACAGGGGCAGUGGGAGAAGAAUAAGUUUACAUGCAGGACAUUUAUGUUUGUUAGUGUCUGCAGGGAAGAGAAGAGGAUUGGCUUUCUGGGAAUUGGUUUAUAAGUGAGUAUAUACGGUAGAGCCUUGCAUGUUCAUCAUCAUUGUCUAACUAGGGCAAUGAACUGUGAAGGAGACUAAAGAAUGUUUAUCAAUCAUUCAUGCAGCACAUUAACCACUGCUCUGACUCAAGGGCAAGAACUUCAAAGUUAUGGCUUUGUGGACAUAAAUGGCACUGUCUGGGUCCAGACUCUCCAUGCUGACCCCUCCCAAUCCCAACAUCUAGACAGAGUGAACAGGGAUUUUCAACAGGUGAUAUCUAACGUUACUAGCAGUCCUCCCAGCACACCUAAAUCCAAAAGCAUAAACACCAGGGCUCCCCAACACAAACAUUCAAACCUGAAAGGCAUUCAAAGCUGAAAGGGUUCUGAAGUCUGUAACUGUUUUUUGCAAACCUGGUAUUUGUAGUUGUCAGAUGACAGCCAGCUGCUGAAAUGUACAAGGGAAAGUUCUCACUAUGAGCUGACAGCUGCCUGCUGGCACCCACAGCCUUUCUGACCCUGCAUGUAGGGAAAUGAAAAUAACUCAGUUUCUGGUGGCCGAGUCAUGAUUUCACUUCUGUUUCUAUGGAAAUGGGCAUGGACUGGCAGAAGAAAAGGUACAUACAGUGUGUGUAUAUGUGUGCACGCACGCACGUCUGCAUAAAUACAUACAUAACACACAUAAAUGUUUUUAAAAAACAUUUUUGAAGGAAAUCCACUUAGGUAGUGAAGUUAUAUUGGAACCCUGCACUUCUCAGGUUACGAAGGGAAUCAGACCAUUGAAAACAGCAUUUUGGCUUCUACGUAAACACUAAUUUAGGACUCCGUCUCGUAAACAUUUAUUACUGGGCACAAUGCAUAAACCAUCGAAGACACUGGGAUUACUCAAGGCAGUACAUACUUUACCUGGUAGUUCAUAUUUGCAGGAUUGGGCCUAAGGUCAUGAAUACUUUUAUUGUGCACAGUCUUUCUAGGUUUUUUACUAUUCAGGAGCCUAUUUAUAAUGGGUAAAGAAGUUUGUGCUUUGGUGCUAAUUUUCACUUGUGGGCCACUGAGCCCUAAUAGUAUUUGAUACUUGAUGGGGACUGAAUAAGCAGGACUCUUAUAUAAUAACAAUAAAAUAAUAAAAAUAAAAUAAAUAAUAAUAAUAAAAGAAUAAUAAAAGCACAACCCAAAAUGUUUCCAUCCAAAGGGGAACAUCACAAGAAUUAAUAAAUAAAGACUCAAACCCCCCUGCAUGGUAGGAAAGUACAAUUAUCUCCAUUUCACAGAUGGGGUAACUGAUGCCCAGAGGAAGGUAUUAACUGCUCUUGUGCAGCUCCCCAGUAGAAUACCCCCAACACAAGAGGCCCUCUCUGCUAGAAAUGGAGAGAUGGUGCCACUGGCUCAAUCCUAGCAGGACCAUCUAGGGUAGGGAGUCUGUUUGGGGUGGGUGGACAUGUGGCAGGGUCUGACCAUAUGGAACGUGAGGUUAUGACAGUAGUUAGAACAUCCUUAAGGCUGCACUAACCUGCUCCAGGGGGUCAGCUUGGCCCCAGCAACCUCAGCAUAGAGGAGACACCAAGCCUCCCCUCUUGGUCCCUGCACUGGAGGCAGGAUUAAUCCAGCCUAGAGAAGAUAAGUGACAUGUCCAAGGUCACACACAAUGUCGGUGGUAGAACUGGGAAUAGAUCCCCAAAAUCCUGAGUCGUCAUGUUCCUUAAUCACAAGACCAUCCUUCCUCUUACAAAAUAAAAGAAAGGAAAGAUUCCCACCUGUCUCAGUCAAAUUACAGGGCUGCUCACAGGGGGCUAAUUAGAACCAACUAGGGAAGAGACUGGAGUCUGAGAUCUGCUGGUGACUUCCCCAGGUGAUUUAUUCCAGGGGACCAGUGGACUGAGUUUGCCUGACUGACACCAAUCCAGGCUUUGUUAGCAAAAUACUUUUCAGCAGUGACAAUCACAGGACAUGCCAGAAGGGCGUCUCUUGUCUAAGACAAGUGGAUUCCAGCUACUCCCCCUGCCUGCCAACUUCCCCACCAGCAGGCUGCUGGCAUUCUGCCCGAGAACAGCAUGCAGCAGCUGACCAGUCUGUUUGCAGUCUGCACCUCCACUAUAUGAACAACUGCAAGGGAACUCUGGGCCACAGGGAAACCAAAACCAGGACCUCAACACAUGGAAUGAACGGUUUAUACCCUUUAGUUAGUGCCACUCCAUUAUGGCAAAAGGAGAUAGUCACAAUCAUGGCCACACGUGCAGCAAAAAACAUCAUUUCAUUUUUGGUGCUGCAGCUGAUUAGGCGAGUUGAAAUGGGGAGGGAAGGGGCAGACACCUGAAUUAAUAUCUGACAGAGUUUUUAAAGUGCUGAAAAAAAUUAGAUAUAUUGAACAGAAACCUUCAAAAAUCAGCUCCUGAUCUCACUCCACUCGGGUGUUAGUACGCCAUGGCCCCAGGCUUGAAUGGGAAGAACUGUCCGUGGGCAGAAAGCAUCGAUACUCUCACCAAUGGCAUUUAUUUGUGUGAAAGUCUUUGUAAUACGUGUGCGUCUAGAAUCUCUCACCUGAGCAGCAGCAGCAGGAAUUCUCUGUUCUGAUACUGGUUGUGGAAGUUCUUUAUAUCUGCACUGUGUACAUAUUAGAAUCAGACGAACACUUUCAAUUUUACCCCAUGAAAGGAUGAAAGGGGCAGAAAACAGCUGAAAGCCUGUCAGAGGGAGAGGAGGUGAACCUAAUCAGCACAGCAGUAUCCCUCCCCUUAUCUUAGAUUUUGACAUUGUGAUUCUGACCGUGGUAGCUACGGUAGCUACACAUUGGACCCUCUUUGCUGACUGACGGUUUGGUGCUCUGCAGAGGGCAUGGCUGGCAGGGAGGUGGCAGAGCCCUGGAUAGCUCACUUUCCACAGCAUCAGUAAACCCAUGAUGAAAAACCCAGGGGUCAAUAUUGACCUCUCUCUGCAGAUUGCCACUCUGAACAUGCAUCCCCUUUUAGAAGUGGUGUUUGUGAUCCAAGCACAGGUGAAUGCUCCAAGAUCCACAAGUUUGUCCCAGACCUUAGGAUAUUUAGAUGCAGGACUGGAGGACUAGUCUCUGUCCCUUUGUAGCUCGCCAAACCUCACCCACAGGAAGGCAGGAUGCUGCAGAAACUUGGUCUGUUUCACUUAAUUUGGUCCUUGUGAAGCUUUUUACAAGUGGUGGUAUAACCUCACUGAAUUUUGUUUUUUAACAAAAACUGCACAAAAGAUUAUCAGUGCCUGCCAAGGUAAUAUUAUAACUCUAAUGGUGAAAACCCCUUUUCCUGAGGGUAUACAUUGCCAUCAUCUGUUCUGUCUAGAUUGAGAGAUUCAAUUACAUUUGAUUCAGCAUCUCAGAUUAAUGAGCACCUGCCCUCUCCUCCCCGAGCCACAUCUAUUGCCUGUUGCUUUCUAAAGGCCUAAUCCUACAGCUUGGAAGUUUUACCAUUGACUUCAGUGGAAGCAGGAUCAUGUCCAUAAUUCCCAUUUGUACAGUAUUUCAAGCUGAAUGCGACGUGUCAUGUUGGACCCUCUGUUCUAUAAAAUGCAUAUUCAUAUUCUAAGAGCAGAACAUGACUGGGCUUGAUUGACAAGGCAGAUAACGGGAAGCCUUUGUAUUAGAUGUGGCUGGUAGACGACAAGAUCUUCAGGAUUUGGAAUAUUUUUCAUUUGAUGGGAAGAAAAUGAUACAGUCAAGCAUAGUUUCUUUCAUUACCACCCUAGUCUGUUUAUUCAGAGGACUAUUUAGUAACACGUUUUUGCUUCCAACUGAUUAACUUUUUAAAGAAUAGCAGUCAAGUUAUUGAACUUAAAAUUAAAAUAAAGUAACAAUUUGAAUUAAUAGAGAGAAAAUUAAUUCACAGAGAGUUUGCGCAGUACCCUUUAGGGUAAAUAGGUAUUUAGUUACUUUUCCUAAUUCUCCUCUUGGCCACAAUCUGCCAGGUAAUUACCAUUUUUGCACUCCCAGGGAAACUGGGACUUCUCUCUUCCCCUUCUGGCUGUUUGAGAUUCCUAUAGAAAUGGUCUUUUAGGCCUUUGCUUUGCUGUUUGCUAGUUAUAUCCUGGUGUGAUACCUAAAAGGAAAAAACACAGUUCCUCUAAGUUAAUUUAUAAGAUGCUUCCAAUUAAUCCUCUCUUAAUGAUAAAAAACCCUCCUGCCAUUUGUUAAAAACUUUCCCCACAGUAUUAUAUAUCCUCUUAAUUAAGAACAGAAACAAACUAAUACCUAUUUUAUUCCCUCUUGCUUCCAAUUAGUCCUCCAUUGCUCAUUACCCACCAGACACUUGACAAUUAACAGAACAAAAAUUCCCCAACAACAGGAUAUAUAUUUCUUCAGAAAUGACACGUCUAGAAUAAUGAAAGUGACACAGCCUUGGUGUGUAAAGGGGCAAGAGGCAGGAACGUAAAGCCUCCCAUGUGGAUCAAAGACAUAUGGAACAUAUGCAAAGGCUACAUAGGUAACAUGUGUUUUAUACGCUCCAUGUAUAUGAGAUCAUACAGAGCUGGGUUACAACCCUGCCUAAUUUGGAGACACAGGAGCAAAAGAGAGAAAUUUGGCUUUCAUUUUAUAAAAGGGUUCUCUCCCCCCUUGCCCUUGACAUUUGCCUCGAAAAUGUAAAUCAAUUGCUUGGUUUGGUAGCUUGUCACUGAUUUUUCGUAAAGACCACGGGUUAUUCAUAGUUCCCCACUAGUCACCCAGAACUGGACUUGGAGGGCUGUGUAAACCAUGCACACACCUCCCUCAACUGACUGCAUAGCCUCACCCAUCUUGAAUAUCCAAGAUCAGUUUCCAGCUCUGGUGCAGUGUUUUCCUGGCUCCUGAUAGCAAAACAGCCAUCACAAAUGACCUCCCAGACAACUGACUGUUGCUCGUGCGGAUCCUCUGCUGUGUAGCUAGUGUGACCUGGAGGAGAGGCAGCAUGGAAUAGGGACCAGGAAUCCAGCACUUUCAUUCAAGCUUUAAAUGAUGCCCUCUCUGGUCCUGGGCACGUCACUUAUGCUUUCUGCUUAAAUGUUCCUACUUGUAAAUCUGAUCUGUCACAGGUAGAGCCAACAGCAGAGUCAGAUAUUUAAAUGUGUUCGUAAACACCAGCUGUGCGCUAAUAUUCACCAGAACACACAAAACCUUCUAGGUGCUGGGUGCCUAAUGACCCCCAAUGCCCUGAUUGUUUGCACACUUACCAACAUCUUACAAAGUUUGCAAGGGACAAUUAUGCCCAGACCCCACCACAAGCUGCACUUUUAUAGCAGGAGGGGUGGGGGUGGGGGGCGCAAUUGGGGCCAAAGAUCCCCCUCCACUCGUUCAUGAUGUAAAUUUAGUCCACUAGGUCUGGGGCAUAUAUAAAACAAAUCACUUCGCUCAAUUUCCCCCAAAUCUUCAGACUGAGCCUGUACAGAAUAGCGCACCGUGGUGGUCUGAAAUUUGUUAUAUUUCUUGGGGAGGCAGCAAAAUAUUUGGCAAGCCUGUCCAGUAACGAUAUAUUGAGUCAAUUGUAUUGCUAUGUCAGGGCACUUUUCCCAUAUUACCCUCCUGCCCCCCAGUAAAUGUAUAACUUACUGUUAUAUGGACUUGAGAUGCUGAUUCGGCAAAGUGGCUGGAUGCUUAACUUUAAGCAAAUGCGAAGCCUCCAUUGAUGUGAGACUGCUCACAUGCUUAGAGUGAAGGGUGUGCUAGAGUGCUUUGCCGGAGUGCUCAGCACCUUGCAGGACUGAGCCUUGGGGACACAGACACGUCCUUUCCACAUGUGGAGCUGUACAGUGGAAGGAGGCGGCAUUAGAUUUGGAUUUAUUCUCCAUGCAGCCAAUAGGGGAAGUGGAGAGUAGCAUACACAGUCAUUCUUUUUAAGAUCUCCCUAUAUUUUAAAGCUAACCUCACACUCUUUUAAUAUACUUGUGUGAUCAGUUUGGAGUCUCUUGUGAGUAUUCUUACCCCUCCCGAUGAAAGAAAGAGGGCUAGUGCUCUAUUAAGCCAAAAUCUGCUUUAUUUGAUUAUAAGCCAGACCUGGCAAGAGAGCAGUGCCAUAGAUCUUACUAUAUGUUGACUAUUGGAAUACAAGUCAUUCAUGCUUUCACUCCCAAUGUAAUUUAGAGAUCCUACAAUCAAGCGGAGUGAGGACAGUCAGAAUCCCUCUCUCUAAAGGGAGCAUGAGCCAGAGGUUGGGGCCUGACGGAUACCCCCUGAGAGAGGAGAGAGAGAAAAAACAAACAACUUUCUACAAAGGAGGAAAAAAUCUACAUAUUAAAUCAGACCUGUUUAAAAUACUGUUUAGGAAAGUAACAGACAAAACUGAGAUAAAAGUGAAGUUCAGCCACACAGGCUGUAGCAGUCACCAUCUGAGCCCUUAGCCCCCAAUUCUCAGCUGCUUUGAGUCACCUUUCAGUUCUGGGCCCAACUGGGGGGCCCAUGGCUGCUCUAACGUAAGCUCAGACACUUGUAGAAUAGCUGGAGCAUUGUGGCCACACAGUCCUCAUGCCACCCCCACCCAGGGUGCACCCUGUAGGCCCUUUAUAUCAGCUCUGCCCCACCCAGGGAUCACUCCUGAUGUGGUAUUUCCUGGCUGGAGGAAUCAGAUGGUAUAAUGGGGCUGGAAGACAGCCUAAACUUGGGGCUUAGUCACAGACAUGCGUAGAAUUGAAGCGGUCCAUAGGCCUUUGGGCAGGCCUGCUGCACAGGGGUGCAGGCCUUUAAGGAUCUUGUGAGCAGAAGUGAUGAUAAACCGUUCAGCAAACUGCACCGAGAGCUACAAACGUGCAUCGUACAUGGAAGCUGAGAGCAGGGGCUCAGCAGCAACACUGACACCAUGAAAAAGCAAACCAGAGCCUUCACUGGUCUGGGACCUUCUCUUUGCUGUGUGUAUGUGGGGUGGGAAGUAAUCUUAUUUCUUUGACCUUCGCUCUUUACACCAUUCUGACAGGGCUUAAUGCUGAAUUAUUCCAGAAAAUGGGCAGAAUGAUCAAUUCUCUGUCCCGUACCCAUAUGGCUAACAGUCGUUCAGAUUUAGAAAGCACUUUCCCAUAGUGAGUCACACUUGCCGUUUCCUGCCUUGUCUAAAUAAUAUUCUAGUUAAACAGUGGAGAUUGCUACAUUCUGGUAUGAAAAACUGGAGCACAGACCCACCAACAUUGUCAUAAUCUGAUUACAUGACUCCCUGGCUGGAGUUAAACACAUUGAUGCUGCAAGCACAGCUGGUGCUGCAACCUUUAAAUCUGUCUGUAAAUGACAUGAUGUACUUUCAACACAGCCUGCAAGCUAGUGACCCAUUUUUACCCCCGUAAGGGCAGUCUCCGAAUCCACCCUCUUUUCUCCUCUGUCUGCUCCUCCCUGCACACCCAUGCCACAGGCCCCAAACUGCAGUUACUCUCCAUGGAUGGCUGGAUGUGCCUCCCUCAGAAGUCUGCUUAUAUUGCUCUUUGCAUCAACCCACCACUACACUGCAUGCCGCUACCACAACUCUUCUAACCCUCCGUUGUUCUAGGGACAAGAAUCAAACACAUAAGUACUCGGACACAAAAAUUAGAGUCUACUCUGUUGUUAGACUGUCCUCUCCUCUAAUCAGUUACUUGUCAGAGUCCAUUUUUAUGUCUUACAAGUAAUUGUUCUCUUGUUUUUCCUAGGAUGAAUUUCUCAGAGAAAGGGGAAGAAUAGGAAGGAAUUGAUUAGUGUAUUUACUGCUUUGAAUUUUUAACAACAGCCUCUACCUUUUCUAACACAAAUUUGAUUUUGUCACUUGCACAUAUUUUUGCGUACAGAUGUGGAGUCCGGUUUGAAGCUCCUUGGAAAAACCAAGGGCCACUAGGUUAGUGACUACUCUACACAGAAACCCUGGCCCCAUUCAGGUUAAUGAAGAAAUUCCCAUUGACUUCAAUGGUGCCAGGAUUUCACCUCAUAUAUUCAAUAGAAUUCCUUCCCCUCGGUUUGGCUGUGAAAAUUUCCAAGGUAACUAGACCUGAGGAUUUAGAUGGGAGAGAUCAAACAUCCAAUACAGGUGAAAUCUCAUCUAACAUCUGAACCUGCUUUAGUUUGUAUAGCUAAACUGUCUCGCUUCCUAAAUUAAGAUAGUAGGGAGGACUGUUCCAAUUAACACUACAGAAAUCCUUUCAGUGGUGAAUUCCCUGCACGUGAAUUAAUCACUGGGAAUUAUAAUUGCUUUCUAAUGGGACUGUAGAAAUGUAACUCUGGAAUCACAUAGCAAACAGCCUCUAAUUAUUCUUUUAAGAUGGAUAGUCCCCUACCUGUCAUGACAUGAGAAAAAGGUAAACAUCCUUCCACCUGUACUGUUUGUAACUAACACUCUCUAACCCCCUCUUAAUGGUUAAUGAGUAUAGUACACAUAUUAAAAGAGGAGUCACUGUGUGAUAGCAGCUCUUGUACACUUCCACAUUAUCUUGAUUUUAACCUCUAGGUCCCAAUAAGUAUUUAUACUAAUUUAAUUAUUGCAGUAUCUGAGUGCAGGGCAGUUAUGUGCUAAACCAACAAAUAUGAGGCAGUCCUCCAUUUACUUUGUAGGUCUGGUGGGUCCAUCUUCUUGGCUCUACACUACUUUCAAAUUUGUGGACUCCACUAGAGACACCCGCAUAGGAAUAUUCUCCAUUUUCAAUUAUUUUUUUAGAUCUAUCAGUUAACCAGUUUUUAAUCCAAUCAAUAUAGGAUACGUUGAUUUUCUAUAGUGCUAAUUUUUUAAAAUUCAGAACUUUAUGUGGGACUAAGUCAAAUGCAUUACAGAAGCCUAAGUAUGUUAUGUCAACACCUUUAUCAACCAAAUUUAUGAUCUCAUCUUGUAGGAGCUGGAUUUUAUGAGAUUUAAUGUAUGAUUUGAUUUCAUCCUGUCAGCCACCCUUUUUGAAUAGCAGAAAGGAAUGACAGAC